CCCUCCCUUUCUCCUCCCCCUUUCCUCUCUCUUUCCUUUCCUUUCUUUGUCUCCCCACUAGACCUAGUCACAAAAACCUUUCUUUUCUUUUCUUUUACUUCCUCACAGACACGUUUUUGAACAAUAAUUUGAGUCCGUUUUUUCCUAUAUGGUAACGCACGCGGACAAGGGAUAGAAAUGGACCUUUUUAAAACUACUGGAACACUCUGGUUAGGACACAGGUCGGUGGUAGCUUGUCCACUGCAGGACGUUGAGGUGUGGGAGAUACCUCCACCCCCCCCUGGAUAUCGAGGGGGGUCUGGCGUACACUGUACGUUCCAUCCUUGACUCUAGAUGUCGGGUGAGGUGCCUGCAGUACCUCGUGGAUUGGGAGGGGUACGGUCCAGAGGAGAGGUGCUGGGUGCCGGUGGGGGACAUCUUGGACCCAUCUCUGCUGGGUGAGUUCCACCGCCUCCAUCCUGAUCGCCCUGCGCCUCGCCCUCCGGGUCGUCCUCCGCGAGUCAGGUGGGGGGGUACUGUCACAACUCCUCUCCCUGUUCGGGCGGUGCUCGGCGGUCGUCGUUGCUGGUCUACUAGCUGCCACUGAUCCUUUUUCAUUUUCAUUUGGUUAUGUCUGUCUUGUGUUUCACCUGUGUUCUAUUUGGGUAAUUAGGAGGGGUAUUUAAAUCUCGCCAUUUCCUCUGGGUUUUGUGCGGGAUUGUUUCGUUUGCUGUCAUUUAUUUGUGGGUUGAGUUUUUUGGGUUCUGUUGAACAGGUGGUUUGAGGCUACUGUUGUAGUCCUGUUUAUCCUGAUCUUUGGACCUUGUUCAUUAAACUCCCUUUUCGAAA